rnacentral:misc_RNA from 1 species
AUGCUCUGUGUUCCGGUGUCAAGGUCGCCAACAUGGGAUUUUGUGAGGUCGGCAACGGCGGUUCUGCGCCUAUUCCUGGCCAGGCCCUCCUUCUCGUGCAUAUUUUGUGGUUGAUCAUCCUUGGAGUUUCCGUCUUGUUUGGACUCUUCUGAAUCUUCCGCCAAUUCCUUUGCCUCCUAUACCAUUAUCUGGCUUGCUGUAUGAAUCCGUUUCUUUCCAUUUACAUUCCUCUUCUUAUGUUUUUCCUCCCCAACCCAAUAUUUCAUUUGAACAUUCUUUUGAGAGGA